rnacentral:rRNA from 1 species
AUACGUAGGUGGCGAGCGUUGUCCGGAAUUACUGGGUGUAAAGGGCGUGUAGGCGGGGAUGCAAGUCAGAUGUGAAAUACCGCGGCUUAACCGCGGGGCUGCAUCUGAAACUGUGUCUCUUGAGUGUCGGAGAGGAAAGCGGAAUUCCCAGUGUAGCGGUGAAAUGCGUAGAGAUUGGGAGGAACACCGGUGGCGAAGGCGGCUUUCUGGACGACAACUGACGCUGAGGCGCGAAAGCGUGGGGAGCAAACAGGAUUAGAUACCCUGGUAGUCCACGCCGUAAACGAUGGAUACUAGGUGUAGGAGGUAUCGACCCCUUCUGUGCCGGAGUUAACACAAUAAGUAUCCCACCUGGGGAGUACGGCCGCAAGGUUGAA